GGAUUAGAUACCCUGGUAGUCCACGCAGUAAACGAUGAAUACUAACUGUUGGCGAUAUAGUGUCAGUGGUAAAGCGAAAGCGUUAAGUAUUCCACCUGGGGAGUACGCCGGCAACGGUGAAACUCAAAGGAAUUGACGGGGGCCCGCACAAGCGGAGGAACAUGUGGUUUAAUUCGAUGAUACGCGAGGAACCUUACCCGGGCUUGAACGUAGAGAGACCGACUGGGAAACCAGUCUUCUAGCAAUAGCUGUCUACGAGGUGCUGCAUGGUUGUCGUCAGCUCGUGCCG
rnacentral:rRNA from 1 species